rnacentral:misc_RNA from 1 species
AACCAUUCUCACCUGCGGCUAGACCUGCGGAGGGAUCAUUACAGAGAUUGAUGCACCAAGUGCAUCACCUCCAACCCCUUGCGAAAACAACUAUCAUGUGUUGCUUUGGCAGUGUUUCCACUGCCAGAGGUUUACAUAAAAUCAGCUGUUGGAUGUUGUCUGAGUAAACUAUAUGAAUUAUUUAAAACUUUUAACAAUGGAUCU